CUACGUAAAAUUUACGUAGACCAUUCUGUUUUAUGAAAAACGGCGGGAUUCUACGUAAAAAAGACGGACGUGAGCUCCGUUUAUGAAAAACGGCGGGAUUCUACGUAAAAAAGACGGACGUGAGCUCCGUUUUUGAAAUACGGAGAGCCGUCCGUAAUUUCAUGAGGAGGGCAACUGAACAUGUUACUAGUGAAAAAUGAACACGCAAAGAAUAUAACGAAAAGACACUGUCUACUCUCACUGCCAGUUACAUAUAUCACCAUAGAUAACGCUGUUUGAACAUUAUUCGCGUGCGAGCAUAGUAAACACACAAAAAGAAGCAGGUAGGGUUUGAGCGGUGGCGCUGCUUACCACCCCUUCAUCGCGCCUACACGCUGGGUUGGAUUCCUCCAGCACAAACAACUGUACGAGUACUCGCUAAUGGCGGACGGUGGAGGUGGUGUUCCUGUCGCAUUUGUGAUUUCACACUAAAUAGGAAGGAAUCGGCGCUGGAUUGUUACACAACUGUUGCACCAGUGAAGGAUGUCUGUGUGCCGCCUUGCAUUCAGUUUCUCAGUCAUGGGGGCCUGCUUGCAACACCAGUGGUAAUGCAGUCUUGCAUUGUGCUAUUUGUUCUGGAAGGACACAAGCAUUGAGGAGCCAUUUGACCUGCCACUACACUGAUACGGUAUUUGGCAAAGGCAGGAGGCAUCUGCAAGCAACCAGUCAUUCCGAUUCUCAACCAAUCCUUCUAGUCAGCCGAUUUCUAGUGUCUUAUCUUGCAAGUUUUUUUCAGUAAAGCACAAUAAACACGCAGUUUCGUUCAGAUUCAGGUGGCUUGUUGCUUUUUGGGCACGAAUUUGUAUGUAUGCUUUGUACACGUCAUGUACAGAACUCAAAUGCAACAUGGCAACACUGACACGAAGAUGAAGCGGUGUAGAAGACAGUUACACAAGGAGGAAACGUGCACACACAGCAUUUUCAGUGUGGUGUAUGUCCACUUAUGUGCAUUGAUUUCUGCCCCAUUUCAAGCUAUAUCUGAUGUGAGUUAGCCAUGUUGUAAUGUACAACUUGGUAUAACUUAUUUCAAUGAAACAAACAAUUUUCUCAUUUGCUGGAGAUAUACACCUGCAUCAUCAUUUACAAAACAAAUUUUGCACCUGUUGAUACGAAGCAAGAUAAAGCUGAACAAGUUCGUACGUAUUCAUGGUACAGGCACGCAAGCAUAGAAGACAUGGACACAAGAAGAACAAAAAUAAAGGUGUUUCUGUCUUCCUUUCUGUUCUUUUUGUGUGUUUUAUGUGCAUACCUUUCCUCAGUACGGUCUGUCCGUUUUUAAUUGGGAAAGUACGGUGCUCAAGUUACAGAAUUUCCGUUCUACGGAGCUCACCGUUUUGUAUUUGCAAAAUACAGACAAUUCCGUGAUCACAACUACGGAAAUAACCAUUUUCCAUUCGACGGAAAUCACCGUUUUCCAUUCGACGGAACUCUCCGUUUUCCAUUCGACGGAAAUCACCGUUUUCCAUUUGACGGAACUCUCCGUUUUCCAUUCAACGGAAAAAAUUUUUACAGACUAUCCGUUUGACGGAAACGCUGUUUUUCAUUUACGGAAAAGUGUCCGGCAACGUUUUA